rnacentral:rRNA from 1 species
AACGCUAGCUACAGGCUUAACACAUGCAAGUCGAGGGGCAGCAUGGUCUUAGCUUGCUAAGGCCGAUGGCGACCGGCGCACGGGUGAGUAACACGUAUCCAACCUGCCGUCUACUCUUGGACAGCCUUCUGAAAGGAAGAUUAAUACAAGAUGGCAUCAUGAGUCCGCAUGUUCACAUGAUUAAAGGUAUUCCGGUAGACGAUGGGGAUGCGUUCCAUUAGAUAGUAGGCGGGGUAACGGCCCACCUAGUCUUCGAUGGAUAGGGGUUCUGAGAGGAAGGUCCCCCACAUUGGAACUGAGACACGGUCCAAACUCCUACGGGAGGCAGCAGUGAGGAAUAUUGGUCAAUGGGCGAGAGCCUGAACCAGCCAAGUAGCGUGAAGGAUGACUGCCCUAUGGGUUGUAAACUUCUUUUAUAAAGGAAUAAAGUCGGGUAUGGAUACCCGUUUGCAUGUACUUUAUGAAUAAGGAUCGGCUAACUCCGUGCCCGCAGCCGCGGUAAUACGGAGGAUCCGAGCGUUAUCCGGAUUUAUUGGGUUUAAAGGGAGCGUAGAUGGAUGUUUAAGUCAGUUGUGAAAGUUUGCGGCUCAACCGUAAAAUUGCAGUUGAUACUGGAUAUCUUGAGUGCAGUUGAGGCAGGCGGAAUUCGUGGUGUAGCGGUGAAAUGCUUAGAUAUCACGAAGAACUCCGAUUGCGAAGGCAGCCUGCUAAGCUGCAACUGACAUUGAGGCUCGAAAGUGUUGGUAUCAAACAGGAUUAGAUACCCUGGUAGUCCACACGGUAAACGAUGAAUACUCGCUGUUUGCGAUAUACGGCAAGCGGCCAAGCGAAAGCGUUAAGUAUUCCACCUGGGGAGUACGCCGGCAACGGUGAAACUCAAAGGAAUUGACGGGGGCCCGCACAAGCGGAGGAACAUGUGGUUUAAUUCGAUGAUACGCGAGGAACCUUACCCGGGCUUAAAUUGCAGAUGAAUUACGGUGAAAGCCGUAAGCCGCAAGGCAUCUGUGAAGGUGCUGCAUGGUUGUCGUCAGCUCGCGCCGUGAGGUGUCGGCUUAAGUGCCAUAACGAGCGCAACCCUUGUUGUCAGUUACUAACAGGUUCCGCUGAGGACUCUGACAAGACUGCCAUCGUAAGAUGUGAGGAAGGUGGGGAUGACGUCAAAUCAGCACGGCCCUUACGUCCGGGGCUACACACGUGUUACAAUGGGGGGUACAGAGGGCCGCUACCACGCGAGUGGAUGCCAAUCCCCAAAACCUCUCUCAGUUCGGACUGGAGUCUGCAACCCGACUCCACGAAGCUGGAUUCGCUAGUAAUCGCGCAUCAGCCACGGCGCGGUGAAUACGUUCCCGGGCCUUGUACACACCGCCCGUCAAGCCAUGGGAGCCGGGGGUACCUGAAGUGCGUAACCGCGAGGAGCGCCCUAGGGUAAAACUGGUGACUGGGGCUAAG